CUUCAGGUGCUGCCACCGCCUUUUCAACGAUGGCACCUAUGAACCUGGUGCUGUGAAGUUAGCUUCACUUGAAAGUGUGUUUGAGAAAUGGAAGAAAACCCUGCAUAGAAGGGGCAAGGAGCUGAGCACUUGGGGUCUGCUUCCUGGGCUUCUGCCCAGGUAAAACAGGGAAAUGGAGCCCGGGAGUGAAGAGAGUGGGAUGGAGGUGAUCAGCAAACGCAUCCUGGAGGAGGAAGUAAGACCCUGGCUGCAGCUUGAAAGCAGCCACUUAUCAAUUCAACAGGCGUUUAUUAUGCAUGAGGCGCUGAGCUUGGAGUGGGGAUCUGGCUUAUGAAUUGAUUGAUGGAUGGAGGAUGAUUAGUCCUUCAAUCCAGUCGGGAUGAAAACCUUCAGGAUAACUGAAGAAGACAGUGGAGCUGAUGCUUAGCCCCUCCAGAGAAGGGUCACUGGGAG
rnacentral:lncRNA from 1 species